CUGGGGUCAGUCUCUACAGGUGCCCAGUGCUCUGUUUCACAGGCAGUGGGCGGCGAGGAAGCUGUUGCUUGGGGCCUGCAGAUGGAGUCCUGUCUGGAAGGAGGGUCUGGAACACACACCCUCCUGCCGCAGCAAGCUGAGGCGCCUGGAGGUAAGCCAUGUGGAGGACUUACUGUUCUCACAGGUGGCAUCUCUGCUUGGGACCCUAUGCCUUGAGGGGGACCCAGCCCCUGCCCCCAGCGCCGGGGAUGGAACCCAUGAUCUCAAAUAUUCUGGGCAAGCACGUCACUGCUGAGUUCCCUCUCUAGUCCCAAUUCCCUCCUUCCUAACGCCAGAGCAAGGACGACAGUCCCACAGAGCCGGGGCAGAAGUGUGGUCCUCUUCCCUCACCCAGCCAUAUGUGCAGACCUUUGCCCUGGCCAAGUCUCAAACGAGGCUCCCAUCGGCUUCCCUGGCAGGUGGGCCUGGCGCUAACGCUGCCUACUCUAUUGUCUGUUAUAUCAGGGCCAGAAGAGGGGCUGUCCUGGUCAUGUCUAAGGCAGCAGGGUUGGGGACAGGACACACUUACACACACUACACAGGGGAGCUUGAGUCUAAACCGUUUAUUUCACAGUUGAGGUGGACUUGAACCCAUGCCCACUCUCCUCCCAGAGAAGAGUGCACGCACAGAAUCGACCUUUGGGAGCUGGGAGGCUCUUAAGGUGGGGAGGCUGCAGGUGCAGAGGGGCAAAGUCGAGCAGACUGGAUUUCACCUGAUGAUGGGGUGGAACCCCAUUUCUGUAAUCCCUGACUUCAGGAAGUGGGGAGAAGGGGUGGGUUUUGGUGGCUGGGGACCCUGGGAGAACCCUCUGGGCACUCUGGGCACCUUAGUGUUGAUUUCACUGAUAUGUGGGGCAACUGACGGGCCAGCUGUCAUUCACAGUCACAUAAAGGGGCUGAGGGGACUCUGGGCAAAGUGCAGAUGGGUCAGGAGGGGCCUUGUGGGGAGCCUGCUAGUGCUCUGAGCCCUAGUCCUCAGUGGACACAGCUGCCUGGCCCAGCUUGGCCCCCAGUGUGCUGGGUGGCCUGGCACACCGCUGCCAGCAUGGCCCAGGGCUCAGGGCGACAGCAGCAUUUGGACGAGCUUCUGGAACUCCUCCCGGUGCUCGUAGAUGUAGACCUCCGUCUCCCAGAGGGCAUUGACCAGCACCGCAUCACUGACCUCGUCCAGCAUGAUGUCUGCUCCUAGCUGUGGGUUCAGUCUGUUGGGAGAAAGGAGGAGAGGGUCACUCAGGAUGCUCAGCCUAGGUAGGGACAGGAACUUGGGCUGGGGAGGGCAGCUAGGAAAGACCACAUCAAGGGUAGGUGGGUAUGUGUCCAUGAAUCUCGUCAGGUGGGUAUGUGUCCAUGAAUCUCGUCAGGUGGGGUGGGGGCAAGGACCUCUGUUGGUGAGAUGGGUGUGGGGGGGCCUGGCGGAGUCGGGUCAGACUCAAACCUUACCUGAAGUACUGGAUGCCAACCAUCUCACACCAGGCCCGGGCCCGGUCCACGGCCCGGCCAUCUGGAUCCGUGCACUGAGGGAAAGAGUGUCCGUAAGCCCUGGCCACAGUGCCCUGCUACCCACCCUCCAAGAUGCCUGGGCUCUAGCCAUUCACUAGCAGAGUGAUCUGAACAGGUCCAGGAGUCUGGGCCUCAGUGACUGCCUAGCUGUGCAGAAUCAGCUCAGGAUCUCUGAGGGCAGUGACAAGGGGCCUUGCAUUCCCUACUGUAGAUUUCAUCCACGUGCAUCCUGGCUUUCCACAGAGCUGUGUGCACAGAGAUCUAUAGUCAAAGAACAUCUGAAACCUGGUGGGGUCUGGUCAGCCUGGAGCCUGAGUCUGGGCUGUCUCCCAGAGCUGACUGACAGGGAUGGACAUGGCAGUGUGUGGAGGCAUCGGCCAGAGAUGGAGACCUGAGGGGAAGGCCGGGGAAGGAUACCAACUCACACAGUCUACCACCAUCUUGCCCAGUUCCUUGGCUCCAAAAACAGUCUUGGCCAGUUCCCAGGGGUUACUGGGGCGGAAGACAUCUACACAGGUUACAGGCACUUGAGGGGACCUUCCUGUCCCCAGAGAGACGACUAUGGAGAGUUUCUUCACCUUGUUGCCUUGGCCCUGUGGUGAGCAGGACAAAGGCAGUCAGAGGUAGGGUCAGAGAGGCCAAAGCUGAGUGCAAGGCUGUGAGGGGCACAGACAAGGCCUUGAACAAGAGCAAUCCAGAUUCUAAUCCAAGGUGCAUGUCGGUGCUCCAGGUCUGUGCUGGGCUUGUGUGACUGCGGGAGCCAGCUGUGCACACCUGGUGGGGUGCCUUCAAGACUGCCACAGGCCCCGCGCCCCGAGUCCACAGGGCGCUCAGACGGGCACGGCUGCUGCUGGAGGUCAGGAGACUGAUCAGCUCACCACAGCAUGCUCGGCUCCCUCGGCGCACAGGUCUUGUCACUGUCUCCACACUGCCCCGUGCCUCAGGACAGGUUCCAAGCUCAGGAGCCCUUCCCCAGACCUUAGUCCUCUCACACAGGCCCUCCUCCUCCCGCCUCUGCAGGGGCUCCUCCAGAAAGGACACACACAGGAGAGUAUCCUGCUUGUGCAGUCUCCAAGCAGGAUGCAAGCUCUGCAAGGCCAGGGCGUGUCUCAGCUGGGGAGUGUCAGAUGUGCAGCCUAUACACUGCCCUCCCUAACGGCAGGUGCGGGCUACAGAUGACAGUCGUCCCUGUGCUCCGUGUGGACGGAGCCUCAGAAGUCUACAGACACUGCCCAUCAGAGAGGCCGUGCGUGCGUGGGAUAUGACUGCCGCCGAGUGUUUGAGCAACUGGUGAGGACAUGCAUCAGAGCGGUCCGCGCUCAUCAGCAGUGUGGGGCGUGUCCAUCUGUGACCCGAGAGGCUCUCACCUUUCGGAUCAUGUCCUGAUUGUAUUCAUGGAUUUCAGUCAUGGCAUCUAGUGUGGGGUUGUUGGCCAGCAGUCCACCAUCCAGGAAGCGUCCAUUGGGCCGGAAGUAGGUUGGGGCUGCCCCACUGCUCCGGGCAGCCCGCCACACCAGUUGGUCUAGGGGUGGGAAAAGACGGUGGCUCCAUGACAUAACACCUGUCCCUUCCCAUCUCAGGGUUCAGAGGGAAGAACCAGGAAGUUACUAGAAACAGGACCCAUAAGGCCUUGCUGCUGGGUCUUAGCAACUUGAUGAAAGGCUGUGUGUCACUAUGGACUUCAGGGGCCUCUUGAACUCUCUGAGGCCUAACAGCCUCCAGCAACACUUGUCCUUAGCCAACCGAGACCAGGGCAGUGAUGUGGGUGGCGAGGGUUCCAGCACCUUGUCUGUGACUCCCCAGCCCCUCCCAGCCUCAGCGAGCCCUUCCCGGGGGCACAUCAAAUCCACUGACCUGCAGGCUGAGUUGGCGGCUUCAGGUUAAUGUUGUGGUUGAAGCGAGGUUCCCGAAUGGCCUCUGGAGCAUCGUAAUUGCGGAACAGGUGGAGCUCUGCGGGCUGCCGGUCAGACAGUGUCCCCGUGAGCAUCACCCUGCGGGAACAACAGAGGGGAGCUGGCUCAGCCAUCCAUCGUCUCCUCAACAGGUCAUGCCCUGGACCCUGUUCUGAGUGGGCUUCCCCCUGGCUGUCCUCACACAAGCGUCUCCUGUAGAUCCGGGCAGCUUCAUGAAGGGGAUUGGCCAACUCUGCCCUAUUUACUCACAGCUGUUUCCCUAUCCAAUAACCCCACUCUGGAAAUUUCUGGAAAUUCACCCCAGGAGGUCUCCAGGGCAGCAGACAGGCUGCACAGAGCCACCAGUGGCAGCAUCCAUUAUUAGAACAGAUGACUGGGGACAACCUCACCGUCCACUGGGGACAACCUCACGGUCCACUGGCAAGCCAGCUGUCAUAGCCACGACUCCUUACUCAUGGGGGGCAUGACACUGAAUAACAACCAUGGUGGCACUUGCUGGGGUCCAAGGAGCAGGUACACAAGGAAAGUAAGGUCUGGGGCAGUGUCUUCAGCACGCUGUGAGGUGUUUAGAAACAAAUCAACAGGAUAACUACUCAGCUGGGUAGAGGCCAACUCUGGAAGGCCUGAGCGCAGUGAGCAGACUCCAGGACCUGGGGUGAGCUGAGGGGUGGAGAGCAUCCCCCACUGUGACCUUGGACACCUUCCUUUUAUGUCUUCUUUCUGUCAUUUCAACAGCCAUUAAAAAAGCCCCUCUUCCCACGGGGGGGGGGGGAGGCCUGGAGAAACAGCUCAGCAGUUAAGAGCAUCUGCUGCUCCUUCAGAGGACAUGAGUUCAAUUCCAAAAACCCAUAGGAUGGCUCAUAACCAUCUAUAUAUAACUGUAGUCCCAGGGAACUGGAUGCCUCCGCUGGCCUCUGCAGGUACCAUGUAUGAAUGCAGUACACAGACAUACAUGCAGGGAAACAUUCACACACAUACAGCAACAAUAAAAAGAGAGCUCCUCCUAACCCUGCAACAAAGAAUCCAGCACAGACCCUUGAAAAUCAGCGUGUGUUCAGAUCCUUGCACAGCGUGGUUCUGUGAGCUCCAGCUCCCACCCUGGAAAGGAAGGGCUCUCUGUAGGGCUCUCAGCACCGCGGCUGCUAGCCACCCCGUCUAUCUAACUGGAGUAGCAGCACACACAGGUGUCCGUGAACGAUGAGAAUCCAACCAAGGUCCUCUGGAAAAGUGGCCAGCGCUCUUCACCGCUGAAACAUCCCUCCAGUCUGAACGGAGCUGAGAAGAUGGCUCCGUGGUCAAGAGUGCUUCCUGCUUUCACCAAGGACGAGGACAAGGCUGGUUCUCAGCGCCACGUCAGGGGGUCAUAAUCGCCUGCCACUCCAGCACCAGGGAACCCAUGACUUCCAGUCUCUGAGGACACCCACACACACGGGCACACACAAGACAGGAUAAGCGGGGGUCAAAAGUCCACCGAUCUGAGGUCUAAUGGAGACUAUUCUAUGUUGGGUUGGGACUCUGAAGGGUUACACUCCCAGGAUAAAUACAGACCAGACACAAACAUGACAUGCCCUUUUACA